AUUCAUCUAAUGAGUUCCAAAUAGGACGAAAUGCGCAUCAUGGAU
rfam:Schistosoma margrebowiei strain Zambia genome assembly, scaffold: SMRZ_contig0000278